UACGUAGGUGGCAAGCGUUGUCCGGAUUUAUUGGGUUUAAAGGGUGCGUAGGUGGUCUAUUAAGUCAGUGCUGAAAUAUCCCGGCUUAACCGGGAGGGUGGCAUUGAUACUGAUGGACUUGAGUAAAGUUGAGGUAGGCGGAAUUGACGGUGUAGCGGUGAAAUGCUUAGAUAUCGUCAAGAACACCAAUAGCGAAGGCAGCUUACUAAGCUUUAACUGACACUGAUGCACGAAAGUGUGGGGAUCAAACAGG
rnacentral:rRNA from 1 species